rnacentral:rRNA from 1 species
UACGAAGGGGGCUAGCGUUGCUCGGAAUCACUGGGCGUAAAGGGCGCGUAGGCGGCCUGUUAAGUCGAACGUGAAAUCCCCGGGCUCAACCCGGGAACUGCGUCCGAUACUGGCAGGCUUGAAUUCGGGAGAGGGAUGCGGAAUUCCAGGUGUAGCGGUGAAAUGCGUAGAUAUCUGGAGGAACACCGGUGGCGAAGGCGGCAUCCUGGACCGACAUUGACGCUGAGGCGCGAAAGCCAGGGGAGCAAACGGG